rnacentral:rRNA from 1 species
GAUGAACGCUGACAGAAUGCUUAACACAUGCAAGUCCACUUGGUGGCGGACGGGUGAGUAACGCGUAAAGAACUUGCCUCACAGCUAGGGACAACAUUUGGAAACGAAUGCUAAUACCAGAUACUGUGAGAGAGCUUUGCGUCCCAUUAGCUAGUUGGAGAGGUAACGGCUCACCAAGGCGAUGAUGGGUAGCCGGCCUGAGAGGGUGAUCGGCCACAAGGGGACUGAGACACGGCCCUUACUCCUACGGGAGGCAGCAGUGGGGAAUAUUGGUCAAUGGGCGAAGCCUGAACCAGCCAAGUAGCGUGCAGGAUGACGGCCUAUGGGUUGUAAACUGCUUUGUAUGGGGAUAGUUGAGACAACGAAUAAGGACCGGCUAAUUCCGUGCCAGCAGCCGCGGUAAUUC